UACGAAGGGGGCUAGCGUUGCUCGGAAUCACUGGGCGUAAAGCGCACGUAGGCGGGUUCUUAAGUCAGGGGUGAAAUCCUGGAGCUCAACUCCAGAACUGCCUUUGAUACUGGGAAUCUCGAGUCCGGGAGAGGUGAGUGGAACUGCGAGUGUAGAGGUGAAAUUCGUAGAUAUUCGCAAGAACACCAGUGGCGAAGGCGGCUCACUGGCCCGUAACUGACGCUGAGGCACGAAAGCGUGGGGAGCAAACAGG
rnacentral:rRNA from 1 species